rnacentral:rRNA from 1 species
AGAGUUUGAUUAUGGCUCAGAGCGAACGCUAGCGGCAUGCUUAAUACAUGCAAGUCGAACGAAGCCAAGUUUGUAGCAAUACAAGAUGGAAGCUUAGUGGCGAACGGGUGAGUAAUAUAUAGGAAUCUACCCAGUAGUGGGGGGACAACAGUUGGAAACGACUGCUAAUACCGCAUACGUCCGAGAGGAGAAAGAUUUAUUGCUAUUGGAGGAGCCUAUACACGAUUAGCUUGUUGGUGAGAUAAAGCCCACCAAGGCGAUGAUCGUUAGCCGGUCUUAGAGGAUGAUCGGCCACAUUGGGACUGAGACACGGCCCAGACUCCUACGGGAGGCAGCAGUAGGGAAUAUUGGACAAUGGACGAAAGUCUGAUCCAGCAAUGCCGCGUGAGUGAUGAAGGUGUUAUGCAUUGUAAAGCUCUUUUGCCUGUGAAGAUAAUGACGGUAACAGGAGAAUAAGCACCGACUAACUAUGUGCCAGCAGCGGC